GCGCCCGUAGCUCAACUGGAUAGAGCACCAGACUACGGAUCUGGGGGUUAGGGGUUCGACUCCUCUCGGGCGCGCCA
rnacentral:tRNA from 1 species